rnacentral:rRNA from 1 species
UACGAAGGGGGCUAGCGUUGUUCGGAAUUACUGGGCGUAAAGGGCGCGCAGGCGGCUUGGCGAGUUGGGCGUGAAAGGCCCGGGCUUAACCCGGGAACUGCGCUCGAUACUGCUAGGCUUGAGUGUGGGAGAGGAUGGUGGAAUUCCUAGUGUAGAGGUGAAAUUCGUAGAUAUUAGGAAGAACACCGGCGGCGAAGGCGGCCAUCUGGACCACAACUGACGCUGAGGCGCGAAAGCGUGGGGA